rnacentral:siRNA from 1 species
UCCUAGCCGCAAGGUGUCGAUGCC